CUUCCAAUUUUAACAGUGUUUCCAAUUAGCCUAGGGUUUUUCUGCUUGACUGAGAUGGAAAUCACGAAUCUGCAAGGUGCAGCUUUGCCCCCAGUCCUGACGUCACCAGAUGAUACUGGAAAAUUCUGGAUACUAAGAGUUGACACAGCUGCCUGCCUGAGCCAGCCUGUGCUGCACACUGCUGGUCAACUGUCAGGGUCCUCAGAGGAGGUUGCGAAAGAAAUGUUGGCAGCCCAAGGAGGUUCUGAGUGCUUCAGAUCCGGUCUUCUCAGCAACAGGAAGCCCUUGCUUGCUCUGCAUAAACAAAUCUGAGCAGUUCUUCCACCUCCCCUUCCCCUGAAGGUACAAGUUGGCUUUGAAAUCCAUGAAAAGGAUUCAAGGUGUAGCCUUAUU
rnacentral:lncRNA from 1 species